ACUACUGUCCCUCCUAUCCUGCUGGAGAAUCUGUUAAGAGCCUUGAGAGUGUGAGAGUUGAGCUUCUUUCAGAUGUUAAGAAGAAGAACAACAGGGAAGUACUGAGAAUGAAAAUGGAAAAGACAUUUGCAUACAGGAGACAUGAAGUGGUUCGUGAUACACCAAUGAUACAAGACUUUCAGGCAAGAUGGCCAGCACUCUUUGACGUAAGCGAGAUAAAUGCUGAAUUUAAGCGGAUUACCACCAUGCCCCUUCAGUCCAGAUUUCUCUCUCAGUUAGAUGUGCACUCUGAGAAACUGAUGGUUCUGUUUAAAAAAAGAGGAGGACAAAUAGGCAAACACCUAGAGAGCAUCAUAGCACCCAUGGCUCAAAAUGAUGAUGUUGAUUUAGGACGAGAAUGUAUCAUCAAGGCAAUUUGUGUGUACCUCAACGAGGAUCCAGAAAACCUCUUUAGAGAG